CUGGUUCCCCUUUGGUGUGUUGAAAUAAACCUCCCUGGAACUGACCACAUACAAAAGGCCCUUCUGCCUCUCCACUGAGCUGGCCAUGGCAUGUUUGGGAGGUGCAAAGUGCUGAAAAACUGCUGAACAAUCACACCUUCACUGCAUGGAGAAGUCCAGAGGUGCUUUGCAGGGACAUCAUCUACACAGAGAAUAAUUUUAAAGCCUUCCCCAUGUGAAGAUUCCAAGGAGGAAAAUGUGAGACCUGUGAGCACACCGUAUUCCCCUGCUAUCCACACCUGGAGUCUAGGAGUGACGAAACCUAAUGGAAAACAGUCGUGGUGACCUCUAUGCAGAUGUUAUAAUCUGGUCUGUGUGAUUAUGAGGGCUGCAGAAAACACCGUGGGAUCCCUGUAGUAACGACAGAGACUUACAAGCAUGGCAUCCAGGCAUAAUUAUCUUCCAGUUACCCUGUGCUAGUGGUAAUGCAUUGGUCUGAUGCUAUUAAUGAAAUGUGGCAAAUUAAAUGUUGAGAGGAAAUUUGUGUUGUCAGUGCACCAAAUAUUUUAGCCCUCAGAUUUUUUUUCUAAAUGACUCCAAACACUGCUAGAGGCAAUCCAUGUACUUGCUUAAAAAUACUUAUACUUCAAAGAUACUGAUCAUCCUGAUGUGUCUUUAUCAACAGCAACUGAAAAGAUGAACCAAAAUCAUGCCAAAACACCACUUAAUUCAAUCUAAACCAUGUUUAAAGUAUGCAAGUCCUAAUCAAGGUUAACACAGCUUGAGACUGUUGCAGGCAGUGUAGUAGUAAAUAUUAAUAAUUUGUUUCCAUGAUUUGUAUAGACUAUCAUGCUAGAAAAGCGGGAAUGUGAUUUCAAGUUACAUGAGUUCUCCCUUGGAAAAGCUCUUCAUUAGUAUCCAUCCUCCUUCUUUACUAGCAUAAUUUUAUCAAUACUACAAAUUUAUUCAUUAUUCCUUAAUAUGCAUAAUUUUACAUAUAUAUAUUCUUUUCUUAUAAUGAGAAUGUAGGAUAUCUAGUGAGGAGUCUCAGGCGCAAAAGCAGA